UUAGUAUACUUACCUAAGUAAUUAUAUCAUAGAAUACAUUUUAUUAUUCGCUUUUGUGGCCUCAAGUCAAUUUAUAGUAAGUAAGUAAGUAUUAUAUUUUUAUGUAAGUAACUAUGUUAGUUUAGAUGUAAGUAAAUAAAAUUUCCUAAGGGCGGCUUGCAGAAAAGAACCCCUAAGCAUAGCUUUACUAAACGUUUCUUAAGACUAAACUGAUUUUUAUUUAAAACGAUUUAAAACUGUCUUGCGCCAUGGUUUUUCUAAAGCGAUUUAACAAAACCUAGUUUAUGAUAUCAUUCAAUUUCUCAUUCGGUCUAUACGAUUCGUUAUACACUAUUUGAUUUAAAAUUUGAUAGUUUCCAAUGAAGUGGGCUAUUAUUUUGGGUGAAAUGAAAUAUACUUGUCGUCACAUGUCAGUCCAGUCACCGAGUGUUACUGUCAGUGUCACUUGAUAAACAAACAACCGUGUGCAGUUACCGAAAUAUUAUUAGUUACCUAAUUGAUAAAUUAUAAAAAUGGAAGGUAAAAAACACCAACGGGCACCCAAUUUUACAUGUGACGAAAGUAUGCUUUUAUGUAACCACGUAGACACAUAUAAUUUCAUAAUUGAAAAUAAAAAAACUGAUGGUUAGACCGUAGCCGAAAAACAAAAGGCUUGGAAGAUGCUGAGUAAAGAAUAAUAUAACGCCAACACCACUUAUGUACCCAGAACUACUGAGAAUUUACUGAUAUACCUAGAUAGCAAAGUUUUAAACGCGUCUGUAGUUCAGACAGUGGAGCUCCAUGGACAAGACUGAUGUUAAUCUCCCCCCAGAGGAAUGCCAUACAACAUUCAUCAAUAUUUUAAGUAAAGAAGCGAAACAAUCAUCAAGCAAAAUAAAACAACAAGCCAUAUUUUAAGAUUUAGGUAUAUAACUAAUAUACAGUGGUAAUUAAUAAUAAUAAACAUGUUUUUAAAUCAACUGGUGUUUGGUACUGGUGACGCUAUAACAUUGCAAAAUAGUUAUUGAUCAGCGAAGUUCUUGCAUUGUUCCCAGACUGUAAGGCACGAGGAGGUUGGUUGUUGUGGUAUUAUUUGUAAGACGAAAGCUUUUAAUAAAUUCAUCGUCUCGAUAAGCACGAAACAAAUCUGUUAUUUUAGUAGUUAACCCUCCUAUAAAAGUAAGGGGUAUUCAAAUAUUCAAUCAUUUCUUUAUCGUCGUCUGAGUAACACAUUUUUGAUCUUCUUCUUCUUCUUCUAUCGUGUAAAUGCACUAAGCUAACUUCCACCAGUGUUUUGCUACUCUUAUUGCGAGGUCAUUGGCCUUCAUCAGGUCUCCUUGACUGCACUUUGGGGCAUAAGGUGUGACGUAGUCUGGAGGCUUCCGCAACUGCAUAGAGUGCUGGCAUUGGCUGGGAGCAUAUCCCAUCGCCUCAAACAUUUUUGAUAUUACCGAGUAAGUUAAUUAGAAAUUCUAAUUACUAACAACAAAACAACCAAAAAGAAUACUUCAAAGAUUGUUUUUGACAUUUGACAAAGAAGUUAAAUCUCGAUUUACGCGUAAAACCGAGAUAUUGCCGGUUUAAUUUUGACGUUUCUCUAAAUCGAGAUUUGACACUAAAUCGAGGUCGUGCAAGAGGAUUUUGCUGAUUUACGCUUAAACUGAGCUUAAGUUGAACAAAAUCGAGUUUUAAGACGUUCUUGCAAGCCGCCCUAAGUA